CUGUCAUCCCCUUCCCCUACCUCCAGCCACCCCAUCGCCAUGGACCGGCAACUGCCGCCAUUGCCACCCCACCCCGCCGCUAAAACCGCCGCCUCUCGCCUCCCGCGCGCACGUCCAACCGUGCGGACAUGGUCGCCACCCAUUCCUCCUCAUUUUCCUCCACUUUUCCCCAAAAAUCACGCCAGUUUGACCUCCCUCGAGCUCCACGUCGCCACCCCACGUCGCUGGCCGGUUGCCUCCUGAUUCCGCCCCUCUCGGCCACGAUUUCCCUCUCCUGAGCCUAUAUAAACACCCCAUGCGACCCUCGUCCAUUUCCCCAAUUUUUCCGUACUCCCCGCACUCUCCCCCGCUCUCCCCACGCAAAACCGAGCCGUCGCCACUCUCCGGCGAGCUCCGGCCUCCUCUAGCCGCCGCUCUCGCCAUCGCCGCACUGCGCCGUCACCACCAUCGGCAUCGCCGCCCCACGCUUCACCCCGGCAUCCAUUUCCCUUCCCUCUUCCACCCCCGAAACGCCGUCCCACCGCGAGGCCGAGCCACCGCCGCCUGUACCGCCUCCAGCCGCCGCCUCUCGCCGCUCUAGCCGUCACCGCGCCGCGUCGCCGCCACCGCUAGCUUCGCCGUCGCGCGGGCAAGCCCGGCCACCAUACCGCUCCUUCGAUCCACCGCCGAAUCAUCACCUCCACCGCAAGCCCGAGGCUGGCACCGCUUUUGCUGCCUCCGGCCGCGUCGCGCCACCUCUCCGGUCCACCCCAUGCUGCGCUGUUGUCCUCCCCGGCACCGCGGCCGUCGCCCGCAGCCCGGCCACCCCUCCGCCUCCAUCAAUCGUCGCUCGAACCCCAUCUUCCCCGCGCAAGGCUCUUCCGGUCGUCAUCCGCCACUCCUCGCUCGCGGACUGCCAUUGAACCGCCGUAGCCGUGCCUCCCCGAGGAAGCGUCGUCGCCUCUCCUCGUCGUCGGUCGCUCUCCCGCGCCGCCUCCGUGCCUUGUGCGCUCGCGUGUAGAAUCCGUCGUUUCGGAAGAUCGCGGUCACGAGGAAAAGAGUUCAGAAGAUCCAAG